GCUUUGUUCGUCCAGUGGUGAAGACACCAGUUUGUGGCUUAGUAAGCAAAUCACUGGAAAUCGAGGUUCGAUUCCUCGGCAUGGCA